rnacentral:rRNA from 1 species
UAGCGGCGGACGGGUGAGUAACACGUGGGUAACCUGCCCAUAAGACUGGGAUAACUCCGGGAACCGGGGCUAAUACCGGAUAACAUUUUGAACCGCAUGGUUCGAAAUUGAAAGGCGGCUUCGGCUGUCACUUAUGGAUGGACCCGCGUCGCAUUAGCUAGUUGGUGAGGUAACGGCUCACCAAGGCAACGAUGCGUAGCCGACCUGAGAGGGUGAUCGGCCACACUGGGACUGAGACACGGCCCAGACUCCUACGGGAGGCAGCAGUAGGGAAUCUUCCGCAAUGGACGAAAGUCUGACGGA